UCCCUCAGGUCAACAGCAGACAGGGUCCUUCCACAACCACAUACUUAUGCCAGUAAAAGCUACAGCUUUUCUCCUCCGAUCCAAGAAGCCUGGACUGCAGUCACCAUCUCAACACACCAACCAAGAGAAAGGCGGAUGGCUCAAUUCAAUAUGGAAAAUUGCACAAUAAAAGUUCCAGGACAUGAAGGCUGCAUACUGUGAACGUCAACCUUCAGGGUAUCGUCCUGCGCAGAAGACUUUCUACCCUAAGAGGGAUGGCUGACCGCAGACACUCACAACCAGCACAGACGCCUCCAACCUCAGACUAGGCCCUUCACAGUUGCUGCACUUACCCACCUUCCCAGAGUUUUUGUGUGGUAAUGACAACUGUAAAUAUAGUAUAAA